rnacentral:rRNA from 1 species
UACGUAGGGUGCGAGCGUUGUCCGGAAUUACUGGGCGUAAAGGGCGCGUAGGCGGCCAACUAAGUCCGACGUGAAAUCCCCAGGCUUAACCUGGGAACUGCGUCGGAUACUGGAUGGCUUGAAUCCGGGAGAGGGAUGCGGAAUUCCAGGUGUAGCGGUGAAAUGCGUAGAUAUCUGGAGGAACACCGGUGGCGAGGGCGGCGAUCCUGGACCGACAUUGACGCUGAACGGCGAAAGCUAGGAGAGCAAACGGG